rnacentral:rRNA from 1 species
ACUAGAAUAUGUCAGAGGGGGGUAGAAUUCCACGUGUAGCAGUGAAAUGCGUAGAGAUGUGGAGGAAUACCAAUGGCGAAGGCAGCCCCCUGGGAUAAUAUUGACGCUCAUGCACGAAAGCGUGGGGAGCAAACAGGAUUAGAUACCCUGGUAGUCCACGCCCUAAACGAUGUCUACUAGUUGUUGGUGGAGUAAAAUCCAUGAGUAACGCAGCUAACGCGUGAAGUAGACCGCCUGGGGAGUACGGUCGCAAGAUUAAAACUCAAAUGAAUUGACGGGGGCCCGCACAAGCGGUGGAUUAUGUGGAUUAAUUCGAUGCAACGCGAAAAACCUUACCUGGCCUUGACAUGUAACGAACUUUCCAGAGAUGGAUUGGUGCUC